rnacentral:rRNA from 1 species
GCGCGAAAACUCCACAAUGUACGGAAGUACGAUGGGGUUACCUCGAGUGUAGUCCGAUAAGGAUUGCUUUUCCAUAGAGCAAUAUCCUAUGGGAAUAAGAGGGGGGCAAGACUGGUGUCAGCCGCCGCGGUAACACCAGCCCCUCGAGUGGUGGGGACUUUUAUUUGGCCUAAAGCGUCCGUAGCCGGCUGUAUCCGUCAUCCGUUAAAUCUGGCGUCCUAAGCGUCGGACUGCGGGUGAUACCAAACAGCUAGAGGGUGGGAUAGGUUAGCGGUAUUUCUGGGGUAGGGGCGAAAUCCUUUGAUCCCAGGAGGACCACCAGUGGCGAAGGCUGCUGACUAGAACACGCCUGACGGUCAGGGACGAAAGCUGGGGCAGCGAACCGGAUUAGAUACCCGGGUAGUCCCAGCUGUAAACGAUGCACGCUAGGUGUUGGGUCGGCCAAGUGCCGCCCCAGUGCCGCAGGGAAGCCGUUAAGCGUGCCGCCUGGGGAGUACGGCCGCAAGGCUGAAACUUAAGGAAUUGGCGGGGGAGCACCACC